AUGCCCCCUUGGGAGCGCUUCCGCGAGCUCUGGCUCCUUCGUUUUGGGCCCCCGAUCCGCGGGAGCCGCCUGGCGGAGCUAGGCCGCCUUCCCUUCACCUCCACGGUUCAGGACUUCGCCGAUCGUUUCCAGGCCCUGGCAUGCCACGCGUCGGGCGUGAUGGCGCAGCAGCGGGCCGACCUCUUUGUUGGGGGACUUCCGGAUCACAUCCGCGUGGACGUGGAGCUUCGGGGACCCCAGGAUCUCCAGACGGCCAUGUACUAUGCCCGUGCGUUCGAGCGCCGCGCGUUGGCCAUCCAGCAGGAAUCACCGUCCCGGGCUGCUGGGUCGCUACCCUCGCCGGAUUCCGCGCAGGGUCGGCCUACGCAGGCUUCCGCGGCACCCCUCGCCGCGACAGCGGCACGCCCGUUCCGCCGGCUCACCUCAGCCGAGCUACUCAAGCGUCGCCGCUAA
rnacentral:rRNA from 1 species